UACGUAGGGCGCAAGCGUUAUCCGGAAUUAUUGGGCGUAAAGAGCUCGUAGGCGGUUUGUCGCGUCUGCCGUGAAAGUCCGGGGCUCAACUCCGGAUCUGCGGUGGGUACGGGCAGACUAGAGUGAUGUAGGGGAGACUGGAAUUCCUGGUGUAGCGGUGAAAUGCGCAGAUAUCAGGAGGAACACCGGUGGCGAAGGCGGUUCUCUGGGCCUUACCUGACGCUGAGGAGCGAAAGCGUGGGGAGCGAACAGG
rnacentral:rRNA from 1 species